rnacentral:rRNA from 1 species
UACGAAGGGGGCUAGCGUUGCCGCGAAUCACUGGGCGUAAAGGGUGCGUAGGCGGGUCUUUAAGUCAGGGGUGAAAUCCUGGAGCUCAACUCCAGAACUGCCUUUGAUACUGAGGAUCUUGAGUUCGGGAGAGGUGAGUGGAACUGCGAGUGUAGAGGUGAAAUUCGUAGAUAUUCGCAAGAACACCAGUGGCGAAGGCGGCUCACUGGCCCGAUACUGACGCUGAUGCACGAAAGCGUGGGGAGCAAACAGG